AAGUAAGUGGAGCAUCUCAGUACCCGCAGGAAGAGAAAACAACCGUGAUUCCGGGAGUAGUGGCGAGCGAAACCGGAUGAGGCCAAACCGUAUGCGUGUGAUACCCGGCAGGGGUUGCGUAUGCGGGGUUGUGGGAUCGCACUUUCAUGGUCUGCCGGCCAUGAGGCGAGUCAGAAACCGUUGAUGUAGGCGAAGGGCAUGCGAAAGGCCCGGCGUAGAGGGUAAGACCCCCGUAGCUGAAACAUCAGCGGCUUGCUUGUGCGACACCCAAGUAGCACGGGGCCCGAGAAAUCCCGUGUGAAUCUGGCGGGACCACCCGUUAAGCCUAAAUAUUCCCUGGUGACCGAUAGCGGAUAGUACCGUGAGGGAAUGGUGAAAAGUACCGCGGGAGCGGAGUGAAAUAGUACCUGAAACCGUGUGCCUACAAGCCGUGGGAGCGUCGCCGUCAAGCUUGCUUGGCGGUCGUGACUGCGUGCCUUUUGAAGAAUGAGCCUGCGAGUUUGCGGUGUGUUGCGAGGUUAACCCGUGUGGGGAAGCCGUAGCGAAAGCGAGUCCGAAUAGGGCGAUUGAGUAGCGCGCCCAAGACCCGAAGCGGAGUGAUCUAGCCAUGGGCAGGUUGAAGCGGCUGUAAGAGGUCGUGGAGGACCGAACCCACCAGGGUUGAAAACCUGGGGGAUGACCUGUGGUUAGGGGUGAAAGGCCAAUCAAACUCCGUGAUAGCUGGUUCUCCCCGAAAUGCAUUUAGGUGCAGCGUCGUGUGUUUCUUGCCGGAGGUAGAGCACUGGAUAGGCGAUGGGCCCUACCGGGUUACUGACCUUAGCCAAACUCCGAAUGCCGGUAAGUGAGAGCGCGGCAGUGAGACUGUGGGGGAUAAGCUCCAUGGUCGAGAGGGAAACAGCCCAGAGCAUCGACUAAGGCCCCUAAGCGUACGCUAAGUGGGAAAGGAUGUGGAGUCGCAGAGACAACCAGGAGGUUGGCUUAGAAGCAGCCACCCUUGAAAGAGUGCGUAAUAGCUCACUGGUCAAGUGAUUCCGCGCCGACAAUGUAGCGGGGCUCAAGCGUACCGCCGAAGUCGUGUCAUUGCAGCAUGUACAUCUAACGGUGGCUGUGAUGGGUAGGGGAGCGUCGUGUGCCGGGUGAAGCAGCGCCGGAAGGUAGUUGUGGACGGUUCACGAGUGAGAAUGCAGGCAUGAGUAGCGAUACAAGAGUGGGAAACUCUUGCGCCGAUUGACUAAGGGUUCCUGGGUCAAGCUGAUCUGCCCAGGGUAAGUCGGGACCUAAGGCGAGGCCGACAGGCGUAGUCGAUGGACAACCGGUUGAUAUUCCGGUACCCGCUUUGAAGCGCCAGCGCUGAACCAGGCGAUGCUAAGUCCGUGAAGCCGCCCUGAUCUCUUCGGAGUUGAGGGGAGUGGUGGAGCCGACGGACCAGACCUGUAGUAGGUGAGCGAUGGGGUGACGCAGGAAGGUAGUCCAGCCCGGGCGGUGGUUGUCCCGGGGUAAGGGUGUAGGACGUCACGUAGGCAAAUCCGCGUGACACAUAGUCUGAGACCUGAUGCCGAGCCGAUUGUGGUGAAGUGGAUGAUCCUAUGCUGUCGAGAAAAGCCUCUAGCGAGUUUCAUGGCGGCCCGUACCCUAAACCGACUCAGGUGGUCAGGUAGAGAAUACCGAGGCGUUCGGGUGAACUAUGGUUAAGGAACUCGGCAAAAUGCCCCCGUAACUUCGGGAGAAGGGGGGCCAUGUCCGGUGAUGAGACACGCUCUCUGAGCUGGGUGUGGCCGCAGAGACCAGCGAGAAGCGACUGUUUACUAAAAACACAGGUCCGUGCGAAGCCGUAAGGCGAUGUAUACGGACUGACGCCUGCCCGGUGCUGGAACGUUAAGGGGACCGGUUAGCUCCAUUUCGGUGGGGCGAAGCUGAGAACUUAAGCGCCAGUAAACGGCGGUGGUAACUAUAACCAUCCUAAGGUAGCGAAAUUCCUUGUCGGGUAAGUUCCGACCUGCACGAAUGGCGUAACGACUUCUCGACUGUCUCAACCAUAGGCCCGGUGAAAUUGCACUACGAGUAAAGAUGCUCGUUUCGCGCAGCAGGACGGAAAGACCCCGGGACCUUUACUAUAGCUUGAUAUUGGUGUUCGGUUCGGCUUGUGUAGGAUAGGUGGGAGACUGUGAAGCAUGCACGCCAGUGUGUGUGGAGUCGUCGUUGAAAUACCACUCUGGUCGUGCUGGAUGUCUAACCUGGGUCCGUGAUCCGGAUCAGGGACAGUGUCUGGUGGGUAGUUUAACUGGGGCGGUUGCCUCCUAAAGGGUAACGGAGGCGCCCAAAGGUUCCCUCAGCCUGGUUGGUAAUCAGGUGUUGAGUGUAAGUGCACAAGGGAGCUUGACUGUGAGACCGACGGGUCGAGCAGGGACGAAAGUCGGGACUAGUGAUCCGGCGGUGGCUUGUGGAAGCGCCGUCGCUCAACGGAUAAAAGGUACCCCGGGGAUAACAGGCUGAUCUUCCCCAAGAGUCCAUAUCGACGGGAUGGUUUGGCACCUCGAUGUCGGCUCGUCGCAUCCUGGGGCUGGAGUCGGUCCCAAGGGUUGGGCUGUUCGCCCAUUAAAGCGGUACGCGAGCUGGGUUUAGAACGUCGUGAGACAGUUCGGUCCCUAUCCGCUGUGCGCGUAGGAGUCUUGAGAAGGGCUGUCCCUAGUACGAGAGGACCGGGACGGACGAACCUCUGGUGUGCCAGUUGUCCUGCCAAGGGCAUGGCUGGUUGGCUACGUUCGGGAGGGAUAACCGCUGAAAGCAUCUAAGCGGGAAGCCUGCUUCGAGAUGAGGGCUCCCACCCACUUGAUGGGGUAAGGCUCCCAGUAGACGACUGGGUUGAUAGGCCAGGUGUGGAAGACCGGUAACGGUUGGAGCUGACUGGUACUAAUAGGCCGAGGGCUUGUCCUC
rnacentral:rRNA from 1 species